rnacentral:rRNA from 1 species
AUGCCGCCUCCCGCGCUGCCAUGGCCGCCUCCCUCCUGCGUGCUCUCGCAGGCGCACGAGGAGGAGGAUGACCGGGCCUCCAUCCCCUGCGGGCCCCGCGCCCUCAGCCCACCAAGCCGGCCUGCUGCCUUGGCCUCUCCUCCGACCGGGCCUUGGCCCAUGGAGUCUAUGGAAGAAGAAAUUGAUGAAACUGUGAACCCAUUAGAUGAAAAAGAUGAUGAGGAGAGCGAAGAACAAAAGGAGGAAGAGCGGAUUAGCUACCCGUGCCCACCUUCUAAUGAGAGUAACUCUUCAACUCAAACAUUGUUUAACUCCCCUUCGUGCUUACCGAAGGAUGAUUGCUAUGAUGAUUGUUAUGAUCCCGUUGAUUAUCUUGAAAUACCCCUUUUUGAUGAUGCUUGCUAUGCUUGUGGCCAAGAUGCCAAUAUGACUUAUGCCUAUGGAGAUGAACUUGCUAUAGUUCCUUAUGUUAAACAUGAAAUUGUUGCUAUUGCACCCACGCAUGAUAGUCCUAUUAUCUUUUUGAAUUCUCCCUACUACACUAUAUCGGAGAAGUUUGCCCUUAUUAAGGAUUAUAUUGAUGGGUUGCGUUUUACUACACAUGAUGAUUUUGAUAGAUAUAAUAUGCAUGUGCUUGCUGCUCCUACUUGCAAUUAUUAUGAGAGAGGAGCUAUAUCUCCACCUCUCUAUGUUUCCAAUAUGAAAAAAUUGCAAGAAACUGUUUAUACUAUGCAUUGGCCUUUACUUGGUGUGCAUGAAUUGUUCUUUUAUGACAUGCCGAUGCAUAGGAAUAGAGUUAGACUUUGUUGUUGCAUGAUAUAUGUUACUUUGUGCUCACUACUAAAUUACAAAUCAUUGUUAAUUAAAAUUGGCUUUGAUAUACCUUGGGAUCCGGGUGGAUCUAUUACUUGA